GCCCGCCCCCCACCCCCGCCACGUCUUUUCAUCUCCCCACACCAAGCUGCCCCGUGGCCCAGCUAACUCAGACUGGGUGUUUUAGGAAAAGGUGACUCAGCUGAGAGUCUGUCAACCUGGGUACCGGGCCACUCGACCUCGGGCCCCGUCCCUUGUUCCCAAUACUGACGCCUCUGCGAGCCACUUCCUCACCCGGGACUAGUGGCAGAUCUGCUUGCUCGUCAUCCCUCUGCUUAAGAGCAUGGCAUCAGCAGACCCUCCAAUAGGCCUCAAAUCUGCUCCCGUCCCCUCCACCCGGUGGCCUGCUUCCGAGAGCCCGCGUGUGUCGCUGACGUGCACCUGUCCAGUGGCCGCUGACCAUGGCCGGACUCCCAGAAGCCCAGGUUCUGGACAUGCGGGGUGACCUCGGGCAAGGCUCUGGCCCUGCGAAGCUUGGCCUGGUUCUCUCUGAGGACUCAGGCAGCUCAGGGGGAGAGAGGCCGGAUCCAGGCCAGCCUGGCCAGGCAGAAGGCAGCUCUCCGGGGCAGGCAGGCCUGUCCGGGCAUGUCAGGCCCACGGACUGUGAACAAGGGCCAGAGCCCAACAUGGGGGCGGGGAGCAGCUCCCAGGAGGCAAGCGUGUGACUUGAGGCAGAGCCCACAGACUAGAGAGGGCUCUACCGUCCGAGGGGCCCUGCCCGGGGACAAUCCAAGAAGCAUCCUGGAGGAACCUGACAUCUCCGUGGCUUCUGCGUGUAGCUGGAGCCUGUGCUCAGUGCUUCAGCCCACCAGAGACAGCGUGGUGCGAGGUCCUUAGGUAGCCCUGGGGUGGGUGGGUGUGUAAGGCCCGCACAGGGUCUGUGAGCGUGGCGUGGGCGAAAGCGGGCGAGAGAUGAGUACACAUUGCCGCUGACUCCUCCCACAGCACCGUCCUGUCAAAUCAUGCUCAUCCUGAGCCAUGAUUCCCAUGGAAACCGACUGGGAAGGAAGAGGAGCAAAAGGAGAGGCAGCUCCCAGCUUUCUCAACGGCUCCGCCAACCUUUCCAGCUUUGGACAGAGGUGGGAAAAAGAGCUCUUGGCUCUCAGCCUGUCCCAGGCUACCACAGGCAGAUGAGAAGACAGAGGUGCCUGAAAGGGACUUGCCCUAUAACACCACCGGCCAGCAGGUGCCUGAACCAGGACUUGAACCCAGGUCUCCUGGGCCAGUGCACAUUGGAGGGCCUGUUGGAGGCCCCUCUGUUGGAGUGGAGGCGGACCUGAACAG